AGUGCCAGAAGACUAUAACCAGAAGUGGAUUGCUGGAUGAUGUUUAUUAUCAUGUGUUACUUUACCACGUCUUCACUUAUCCACAUUCUCAGCACGUCUGCAAUCUGUGCCACUUUUCCUUCCUUUUGGAGCUGAAGGAUGCCUGGGAAAAGUUUAUUUGGACUUACAUUGUUCCCUCCCUGUUUUCUCUGCUGAGACUGCAGUUGUUCGGGGAUGUUCAUGGUAAGCUUUAUUUCUAAGCAACUUCUACAUGGGCCAUGGUCACCAAUGGAUUGACACCUACUUGAGCAUCACCUUGGGAGGAUUGUGAUGGAGCAACCUGGGCUCUUUGGUGAUACAGGACAUUGGCAGCUGUAGCAGAAAACUUCAGGUUCUCUUAACAAAUGACAGGAACAGAGGGAUAAUGCCAGUGUGAAAUCAGUAACCACAUAUAAACUUCUCAUGGAGAUCAGCUGGGACCUCAUGGCAGAAACCUCAUUUAAAACAACCGCUAAUGACUUCACCUUGGGCCAAGUCACAGCACAGCAACCACCUCCUCCUCCUCCUCCAGCCCUGCUGGGAG